rnacentral:rRNA from 1 species
GAUGAACGCUAGCGGGAGGCCUAACACAUGCAAGCCGAGCGGUAGAGAUCUUUCGGGAUCUUAAGAGCGGCGUACGGGUGCGGAACACGUGUGCAACCUGCCUUUAUCUGGGGGAUAGCCUUUCGAAAGGAAGAUUAAUACCCCAUAAUAUACUGAAUGGCAUCAUUCGGUAUUGAAAACUCCGGUGGAUAGAGAUGGGCACGCGCAAGAUUAGAUAGUUGGUGAGGUAACGGCUCACCAAGUCUACGAUCUUUAGGGGGCCUGAGAGGGUGAUCCCCCACACUGGUACUGAGACACGGACCAGACUCCUACGGGAGGCAGCAGUGAGGAAUAUUGGACAAUGGGUGAGAGCCUGAUCCAGCCAUCCCGCGUGAAGGACGACGGCCCUAUGGGUUGUAAACUUCUUUUGUAUAGGGAUAAACCUACCCUCGUGAGGGUAGCUGAAGGUACUAUACGAAUAAGCACCGGCUAACUCCGUGCCAGCAGCCGCGGUAAUACGGAGGGUGCAAGCGUUAUCCGGAUUUAUUGGGUUUAAAGGGUCCGUANGCGGAUCUGUAAGUCAGUGGUGAAAUCUCACAGCUUAACUGUGAAACUGCCAUUGAUACUGCAGGUCUUGAGUGUUGNUGAA